rnacentral:rRNA from 1 species
AUGCUGGUGCUGGAGGACGACUGGGGCUUCCCCGGCAUGCACAUCAGCGACGAGCUGCUCGCCGGCAAGUACUGGGCCGCGGCCACCGUCUUCUGGACGACCGACGGCUGCGUCGUCGCCGUGCAGCUGGCUUUCGGGGCGCUGGUUGUGGACGACAGGAUGGGCCUCGGCAUCCGGCUCCGGGUGGCCGCGGGGAUCACCUUGGCGGUGGCGCUGUGGGCGGCGGUGAUGGCGGGGCUGGUGGCGCAGGUGGUGGUCUACUUCGUGUGCAAGAGCCGCCACCGCCAACGGGAGAGCUCGCACGUCACGGAGGCGAAGAAGUACCUGACCAAUGUCGGCCGAGGGCGAGCCACUCCCACUGCCACUGCCACUAGGAAGCGACGGCAGUGA